rnacentral:rRNA from 1 species
CCUACGGGAGUCAGCAGUGAGGAAUAUUGGUCAAUGGACGAGAGUCUGAACCAGCCAAGUAGCGUGAAGGAUGACUGCCCUAUGGGUUGUAAACUUCUUUUAUAUGGGAAUAAAACGUUCCACGUGUGGGAUUUUGUAUGUACCAUAUGAAUAAGGAUCGGCUAACUCCGUGCCAGCAGCCGCGGUAAUACGGAGGAUCCGAGCGUUAUCAGGAUUUAUUGGGUUUAAAGGGAGCGUAGGUGGAUUGUUAAGUCAGUUGUGAAAGUUUGCGGCUCAACCGUAAAAUUGCAGUUGAAACUGGCAGUCUUGAGUACAGUAGAGGUGGGCGGAAUUCGUGGUGUAGCGGUGAAAUGCUUAGAUAUCACGAAGAACUCCGAUUGCGAAGGCAGUUCACUGGACUGCAACUGACACUGAGGCUCGAAAGUGUGGGUAUCAAACAGGAUUAGAUACCCGUGUAGUC